rnacentral:snoRNA from 1 species
GCUGCUGCUGCUGCUGCUGCAGCUGCUGCUGCUGCUGCUGCUGCAGCAGCAGCAGGCUGAGGAGACGGGGGGACAGGGGCCUCCUCUGCCUCCGGCAUA